GGUGGGUGCGUGGGUCGCCAUAUUAAGAAGGUCCAAGAGGCCUGAGAAGAAUCGGUGCCGAGCUCGGCCAUGUUGGGAAGGACACUGGAAACACGAAAUCACAAGACUCGCAACUUUCAGACUCGUAAUUCCAGCGCCCGUGAAGGGGAUUUCUCUCCCCCCCCCCCAAUAUCUCUUCAGGCCCAGCAAAGGAGGAUAGCGGCAGGUUUAGGCUGAGGAUAACUUGUUGAAAGCCCUUGCAGGAUUAGGCAGGGAAGGUGGCUCACGACAACCCUGCAAUGUAGUCCGGAGGCGUUGUGUAAAGUAGAAACAUCUAACCACAUCGAAGUAGCCACGCCGAUGUACAACAAGAAUCAUGAAAUCAUAGGGAUCUCAAAGAUCGCCCGAUAACGUCCCCGAAAAGCGGCUAUGCAGCCCCUAAAAGGUGCCUUAUAUUUUGUAUAAUACAGCGGGUGUUAUACUGCCCAUUACUUUGUGCCUAGAGACUUUCUGAAGUCUUCAUCUGUAGCCUGUAAAUUACAGUAAAUCUCGACUGCAUACGGGAUGUGUGUGUGUGUUUUGCCGCCCUCCAGUGCAUAUCUGCUGAAUGAAGCCUCUUUUUUCUCCACUUAGUAGCAGCUGGGCUGGCUCAGUCGGCGGAACAUGAAACUCUUGAUCUCAAGGCUUGUGGGUUGGGCAAAAGAUUCCUGCAUUGGUGGGGGCUGGACUAAAUGACCCUCAAGCACCCUACCAACUCCACAAUUCUAUGCAUUUGUCUAUGCAAUCUGUUGAUAACAGAUUGUAGAAUAAGCAUCAUCAUGAUUACUGAAACAAUGAAAGACGGGCUGUUGAAUGAAUGAAUGCAGCAGACUAGUCUUGGUAUGAGAAUAGGGGUGUUGCUAGCAUGCCCCGUUUGCAUCUGUGAAAUGCUGGAGGACAGAGGCCUUGAUUAAAAGCCCAUAGUUGCAAGCAAGAGGAUUCCCUGUUGUGCUGGGGUUGUUCUCACACUGAGGGGCUUUGUGCUCUUAGAAGCACAGCAGUGAUACCUAGGUAUAGUUCCUUUUCUGGGUUAAAACCAGAAGCUAGUUUCACUCUCAAAUUCAAACAGAUUUAUAUAUACGAAAGAUGCUCUAUUAUCAACACGGGUUGCUUCCACAUUAGAAGUUUACCUGUCUGAAAUUGCCAUCGUUUGUUCACUCACAUUUCAUAUGAAGAAGUCACAAUAUUGCUGCCAGCUCACUGCAUUCCACUGAAUUUUGCAUUUUAAACUACUCAUUUUUAUUGUAUCUGUUUUUAGAUUGUAUGCCUUGUGUGCAGAGCCGCAUACAUUGAUGGCACUAUAUAAAAGAAUUUUACCUAAUAAUCUGUAUAAAAGCCGACCACUGAU